CCUACGGGUGGCAGCAGUGGGGAAUCUUGCGCAAUGGGCGGAAGCCUGACGCAGCGACGCCGCGUGCGGGACGAAGGCCUUCGGGUCGUAAACCGCUUUCAGCAGGGACGAGGCCCUCACGGUGACGGUACCUUCAGAAGAAGCCCCGGCUAACUACGUGCCAGCAGCCGCGGUAAUACGUGGGGGGCGAUCGUUAUCCGGAUUCAUUGGGCGUAAGGCGGGCGUAGGGGGUCUGUUAGGCCGUGGGUCAAAUGCGGGGGUUCAACCCCGGACCGCCCCCGAUACCGGCAGGCUUGAGUCUGGUAGGGGAAGGCGGAAUUCCUAGUGUAGCGGUGGAAUGCGCAGAUAUUGGGAAGAACACCGGCGGCGAAGGCGGCCUUCUGGGCCACGACUGACGCUGAGGCGCGAAAGCUAGGGGAGCGAACAGGAUUAGAUACCCUGGUAGUC
rnacentral:rRNA from 1 species